UUUGCCCAUUUUUUAUCCCACCCUUCAUCGACUUGCUGGUGCUGAAGAAAUUUCCAUUUUUACUGCCGCAUCUUCCACCACCUCUGUUGCUGCUGUUAUCGCUGCUUCCACAUUAAUGGUUGAUUAAGUCUUGAAAUGUGCUGCAGUGCUCGAAUUGCAUCAUGGAGAGCUGAACUAGGUCUACCUGAACUGAAGGUUGGAAUUAUUUAGUUGCGGAGGUAAAAAUGUCUUGCUUCUUUAAAUUGUUGUUGCUUGACCGAGAUUUUGCUUCAUCCCCAAUUCUUACAUAGCAAAUUCAAUGGGUCGAAGCCGAUUUAGUUCUGUUGAAAUUGGCAAACAAGAUAGCCCAUUCUUACAUAGCUUCUUCCAGUAAUAUUUAUUAAUGUUUGCACUGAUUGACAUUUUUUCGUAGUUAAAAGAUUAUCUAAAUGCAAGAAGAAUCGGGUGUUGUAUUUUUUCUUUUCCACCUGUAUUUGUACUUAAAACUAGUUAUUACCAUGUGACAAUCAUCCAAGAUCAAUACUUCUGAUGAAGGAAGGUGUUGGGUAUUAUCUAUAAUGUGGUAUCUUCUUAAGACCUCUUAGUAAUUUCUUCUAUCUGGGCAUUACAUAUUGCAAAAGGACGUAAAACUCGUACUAAUAGACUUCAAAGGAUAGAUAAAAUUGAACUUAUACAUGAGUCAUCUUCUAUCCUAGAAACUACUAGACAACAGGUUUUGAAGACUUCUCCAGGCAUUGAUCACAUUAUACAUAUACAGCCUGCCUCGAUGUUAUUGAAGAGAGCAUUUCUGGAGGAUAUACUGGAGUUUUGAAGGUGAAUUUUAUAUAAAGCACACCAUAAAGUUUUGUCUUAAUUAGCAUGCAAAAACGUUUAGUCAAAUCUGCAGGUGCAAGUGCAGGUUUAUGUAUUUGCUCAUGCUUAAUCAUUUUUAUUGUCCUUUACUUAGCAGAUCACAAGAAAUCAAUUGCACCAUUAUACAUAAUAUUUUAUUGUCUUUUAGAAUUUUUGAGUAGACAUUUCAACUAAUUAGUGCAAGCUCAGUUAUUAUACCUUGACAAUCUAAGUUCUGGUCAAACAAAGGAAGUAGAAAUGGAGCGGAAGGGGUAUGCUGUUGUCUUAUCGAUACAAAUUUGUUUCCAGCUGUCUUUUACAGGAUUGCAUAGUAGUUUCACUUGGAUUUGCUACAGAGGUCCUAGCAUUUUCAUCUCUACUGUUUUCUUUGUGGUGGUUUUGAUUGUCUUUCGAAUAUUUAUUUAUAAGAUUUUCCUGUCUAGUUUAUUUUGUCAGUUAUAGAGUUACUGUCUUGUGGCUAUUUGUAGGAGGACAAGGUUUUCAGAGAAUUAGUAAUCUCAAAAUUGGCUAGAGCUCUGCUCCAUAUGGAUUUUGAUGAACGUACAACAUCAAAGGAAAGUCUUGGUGAGCAGUUGGAAAUGGUGGCCAAACGAAAAUUUGAUCUAAUGGAACGUAAUCAUCAAGACUUUGGACAAUUACGAUUUUUGUUAUUCCUGAUACUAUAAUAAUACAUUUGCUUUUUAUAAAGUUAAUUAAUUGUUAGCAUGCCCCUUGAGACAGUUUUCUUUAUUCGUUGAUGUAUUACACGAGGUUUACUCCUUGUUUGAAGUUCAUUGCAAGUUUAUGCAUUUGAAUUAUUCUUUUAUUA